CUUAGGAACCCUGCAAGUGAAGCCGGUGUGUGCCACUAGGAGGCUUGCUGAAUGGCCAGGUGUGAGCAAUUGGAGCUCUGCAUAUGUGGAGUGGGCCAGGCUGGAGGCCUACAUGUUUCCAGAUACUGACCCAGCUGUAUAUGGAAGCCUGAGAUCUUCCAACCAUGAAGCAAAAUGUCAAAGGAGCUCUCACCCUACCAGACCUGGCUUACAUUUACCUGAAAACCUUACUGUAGCAAUCCAGUGCCAACCAAUCCAUCAAGCAAAUAGCCAUGAGCAUCUGCUGUAUUCAAGAGAGUUUGGUGCAGGAAAUAAAGACAAAGACAAGC